AAGAAAUUCCUUCUAUCUAUACUGCCCGGAGGAAUUUACUGGAUUGGUCUUAAUGGGAUUAGAUUUUGUACCCAUGUGCGGUGGUCGUACGCUAACGCUUCAUUUUCAGAUUCAAAAUGGUUUCACAAGAAAUUGUGGACAUUCUAUUGGAAGUGCUGCAUAUAUCUGAUUGUUCCUGAAGGUUCAAUGGUAGGAACUGCUUGCAUGUGGAAAAACUUAUGGAUUUGCAAGAAAAGAGAAGAAG